rnacentral:rRNA from 1 species
UACAGAGGGUGCGAGCGUUAAUCGGAAUUACUGGGCGUAAAGCGCACGUAGGUGGCGACGUAAGUCGGGUGUGAAAGCCCCGGGCUCAACCUGGGAAUUGCAUUCGAGACUGCAUUGCUGGAGUACGGAAGAGGAGGGCGGAAUUCCCGGUGUAGCGGUGAAAUGCGUAGAUAUCGGGAGGAACAUCGGUGGCGAAGGCGGCAUCCUGGACCGGUAUUGACGCUGAGGCGCGAAAGCCAGGGGAGCAAACGGG